AGUUGGAGAUUAGAGGCUGAGGCCGUUGCUGGCAUUCCAUCGGAAUACAUGGGGCAAGCUGAUCUGGUCAAGAUGUGUCAUGUGGAUCACAGGAGCUAGAAGAGCAGGAUAACGAGAUCAGCAUAACAACAGCGACGUCCGGGUGUCCGUGGCCACACUUCGAGCAGCUUGUACACCUAUUGUACACCUAUUGCACAAAAGGGUCCAGGGGCUGGAGAUCCAGCAGAGGGAAAUGAAGUACAGUGGGUGAGUCGAGGUCAUCAUACAAGGAAGUCUUCCUGGUGAAGUGAGAUUUGUGGCGAGAGCUGAUGCUCAUCACAGAGAUCGGAAGCGGCCAUCCACGUGGACACAAGGUUGUCCUCCUUGUCCCAGGGGGAGGCAGGAAGAUCGACUUCGCAUCAGUCCAAAUUCACGCUGUAACUUUUCUUCUCUGGAAGAGGACCACAGUGUUCCAUCUAGUCAACCCUGGCCUGAAAGAGAAUGGAGAACAUGUAGCAACUUGACGUCCUACCAGCGUGACAGUAGUAUUACUAAGGGGCUUGUUGGGGACCCAAGCGCUCUAUGGCUACCUCUAGUGCUUGGGUCUGCGCUCCUGAUAGGAUAAACCCAGCCAUCUGAAUCCUCCUAUCGAGGGGCCUGGGGCAAGGCUGUGCCUGGCUCAAGAGUCUCUUGUAGAGAGGAGUCUCCAUGGUGUUGAGCACUCCAGCUCUGGGGCAAGUAAUCCUUGAGUGGCCACAGCAGCUAGCACUGGACUGGGACAGCAUAACCUCGAGGAUUGCUAGGAGAUCUACCCUUUGAGGAAAAUCUCAGGUUGCUUCCGUGACUGGGUGAUGGUUCAGGGACGGGCGCUGGCGGAGAAGCAGCAGGCAGCCUCAAGUCUCCUGAAGCUACUUGUGGAUCAGGAAGGGGGGUUCGGACAUUGUAGCUCCCCAUGUCCAUUAGGACGGUGCUAGCUGUAUACAACCAAUACUCAUCCACCUUCUUCCCGGCCCCACGUGUCUCAGGCAGCAUGCCACCCUUCUGUGAUCCCUUUUUCCCUUCUAGGCCGCUCUCAGUGUUCAUUUAGCACUUAAUUUCACCUGUGCCAACUAGUGAAGCCAGAAGGAAUUGGAAAAGCCUGAUGCUAUUGUGCCUCCUCCACCGUGUGUGUACUGCUCCCAAUUAAGGGGGGGCUUGAAGCAGGGAGGCCAUGCACUCUGUCACCAUCCAUUAUUCACACAGCCUCCAUCUUGGCUUCCUUUCUCCUUUUUUCCUCCCAUUCCAUUCCUCUUACACACUACUUCCACCCGGGCUGUCUGCUUCUCCUUGUUUCUCCCUCUUCCCUGCUGUCUGCCAACACCUCUACUACGGUGUUACUUGAGCCAAUGCAAACCCUGAUGUCCCAGAAGCCAAGCAGGUAACAUCGAUGAGGUCUGCGUGGUCUGAAUGGAUCAG
rnacentral:lncRNA from 1 species